UUAAUAUUCUUCAUCUGAUCAUUUCAGAUGGUCCAUGCUGACUGUCUCAUCAGUGUUGUGUCUCAGUGGUCUGGUUCUGGUUCUGGCUCGGUCCAUGACUCCUGAGUCUAUCGGACCUCUGGAAUCUGUCAGCGUGGAUCACAAGGUGAAUUGUCUGGUGUGUUUGUGGGGGACAGGGGGUCUACCUACCAGCCUUUUCUCCUGACACCAUACACAGACCCCCAGGAACCACAGCAGACCUACAGUCAUGCCCAUGCCAGGACAAGGAGCAGGAUCCAAACGACCUUUGACCUCCUGAAGGAACGCUUUCACUGUCUGCACCACUUAAGGGUCAGCCCUUUGAGGUCAUGUGACAUCACUGUGGCCUGUACUGUCCUCCACAAAGUGGCCUGAGGAAGGAGAGUUAGAGAGCCAACCCCCCUCCAAAAAAAAAGUGCAUCACACAUGGACUGGGACAAUCCUGCCGUCUUCCCUGAUGACCGCAGUGGUCAGCUGGUCAGGGACCAAUAUGUGUUCAAUUAUUUGAGUUCACAUGCAUGAUUUCAGUUAAAUAUGUCCUGCAGGGGCAGAGGAAUUUGUGGGUUUUUUUGUUAUUCAGUUUAAAUUGAUUUGGUUGGUUUUGAUGUUUGUUAUUUACUGUAUGUAUGUUUUUUGUUGUUUCUAUUGUUACUAAACUAAAGGCAUUGGUAUUUAUUUUAUUUCAUUUUGUUUUUUGUUUGGUGAUAUGAAUGGGGGGGGUCGGCAGAAUAAACUUAGGCUUCAACCUAUUCCUUUACAGACUCUUCAGUUUGUAAACAUUGUAUCUGCAUAAAUGUAUGAUGUUUGAAAUGUCUGAAUGAACACAAUUGAACUGAACUGAUGUAAUGAUUGCAAAAUCAUCUAAAAUCAUUUAUGUCAAAUUAUUGAAAUGAAUAAUCCCAAAUGUUUGUAUACUGACAGUGGGUCUAGUUCCUGUGAUUCCAUUGUGUAAUGGGCAGUGAAAUAACUAUUGGUUUCCAUUUGUGGUGACUGUUGACUGAGAUGAGGGAUGAGAUGAAAUAAAUCCUGGAGUUUAGCCUGGUCUGGAGCAGACUAGCUCCACAGAAUAAA